UCUUGCGAGACGCUAUAAGGUUGUUUACUACUGGGUGGAGAACAUGCGGCGAUAAAUAUAUUUUAAUUUCUUUUCUGCGUUAUUUUGAGCGCGCAACGCAGACACAUCAACUGCAAAAUGACAAUGAAGGAUGCAACAAAAAUUAUUAACAGUCAAUAAAACGAAAAUUGCAACCGUUAUGGAAGAAUAAUCAGUCAUGGCUUCGUUUUUAUGUCUCCAAUUAUCGGGGACUUUGAUUCUGAGCCAUCAUUGCUGACUAGCUGGCUGUUAAGUGCAAUUCAUACAUAAUAUGCUGGUACAAUUGGCGACAAAGCAGAUGUGGCUUAGGCAAUGGAACUUCUGCCAAAUGAAACAAGUCGUUUUAUAUUAAGCCGGCUCAGAAGUUAGGGCAGAAAGUUACCUUCUUGUUCUACUUAUUAUGCACAGGCCGCCUUUAAGAGCAAACCUGACAUGUCAGACCUGGAUGUCUGUGACUCGGACGAUGACCAUGAAUGAAGAUGUCUUGAGACCUUCUGAUAAAAUUUUUGUCUGAUAUUAACUGUGAAUAAAAC